rnacentral:rRNA from 1 species
UACGGAGGGGGCUAGCGUUGUUCGGAAUUACUGGGCGUAAAGCGCACGUAGGCGGCUUUGUAAGUUAGAGGUGAAAGCCCGGAGCUCAACUCCGGAAUUGCCUUUAAGACUGCAUCGCUAGAAUUGUGGAGAGGUGAGUGGAAUUCCGAGUGUAGAGGUGAAAUUCGUAGAUAUUCGGAAGAACACCAGUGGCGAAGGCGACUCACUGGACACAUAUUGACGCUGAGGUGCGAAAGCUAGGGGAGCAAACGGG